rnacentral:lncRNA from 10 species
GUUUGGUACAAUCUGGUUCACAUCAUAAUGGUUCUUUUGCCAACAGGAGCUGGUAAUCAGGAUGGCAGUGAGGCAGGCACUUGCUUGCAGAAGAACAGGCCUAGUUUUUUAAGAAGCCACAAAAGUGUCUUUGGAUGAUUAGGAUCUAAGGGGCCAACAGCUUUGCAAUAACAGCAUAAAUAUUGUGGGCUGGAUGGACAGGCACCAAAUGGGGACAUUCCAUCCUGCUGUGUGAUGAGAAAGCUGCCACUUUUGAGGCCUUCCAAAACAAAUCAACACUCCAUAUGCCAGAAGGAAAAGCCCAGGAAAGACCUAUUCCAACUGGAGAUGGUGAAUGUCAUUUCUUCAAGAAGCUGAGAUCCAGCUGGAAUACGAAGGGAGAAUGAAACAAAACUGCUCCGCUUAGGGAACUUGGAAAGGAAAUUGAAAAGGCAAGGCACAGGCUGGAAGAAAAUAUUUGAAAAAGAUUUAUGUGAACUUCUUUCUGGAUUAUACAAAAUAUUUUUAGAUAUUCUUACAACUCUAAAAUAAGAUAACUCCUUAAAAAUCUAAAUUCUACCAAAGGAGAGAUAAAGAUGACGAAUACAUUCAAAGAUGCUGAAAAUCACUUAUUUAUUAUUAGGAAGUUACAAGCUAAAGCAUAAUGAGAUACCACUACAACCUACUAAACUGACUAAAAUUAAUCAGACUAACCAGGUGUUGGCAAGAAACAGGGACACUGAGACUCUCACACUGCUGGAAGGAAUGUAAAAUGCUAAAACUUCUUUGGAAAUGAGUUCAGUAACUUUUUAAACAGUUGAAAAUAGACCUAUCAUGCAAACCAGCAAUCCCACUUCCAGGUAUUUAUACAAGGAAAAUGACAACAUAUGCCCACAUAAAGACUUGUGCACAAAUGACCGUAGCAGCUUUGUGAUAAUUGCUAAAAACUAGAAACUUGUCAAGUGUCCAACAGGUGAGUGGACAAACUCACUAUAGUAUAUCCAUACAAUUAAGUACUAAAUAGCAAUAAAAAGGAACUAUUAAUAC